rnacentral:misc_RNA from 1 species
CUGGAAUCUAUUGGGUCCCCAAAUAGGAAGGAGUGAGGCUGUCAGAGCAUGACCUAGCUAGGGUUAGUCCUUUUCUGUCCAACCAAAGCUAGAUCAUGCUGGCAGCUUCACCUCUUCCCUUGUGAACUCUUCUCUAAUAUUGUCGCUAAUAAAGGACCAGAGGGUGAACCUAACUACCCAGAUGCUUCUUCUCUCUUUUCACUAAAAAGAGACCAUAGUUAAGGAGGACUUGAGAAGAACAAUACAUUAUAUCCUACAACAGAGAACUUUGAUGAUUAUCUCGGACUCGGAUGAAGGAAGAAAGAGAAGUCCCAAAACAAGAAGAAGAAAAAACAGUAGAAAAUAGAAAGAGGAAGCUACAGAAGAAAUAAAACAAAACUUGUCUAAAGAAAUGGAGAACUUUUUCAUGAGAUGAUGAAGG